UAAUGUUCUUGCAUGGGAUGAAAACUCAAUUAAGAUGUCAUUGUAAGAGUUUGAUUAAAUAUUUGGUUUAAAUUUUUGUUUUCAAUUUUAUUUAUUUUUUGUUUAUGUAUUUCUUCAUUUUUUCAUUUUUUAAUAUUUUUAGAUGUAAUACAUAUAUAUAAUAAUAUUUUAUAGUUAUAAGAAAUUAUUUUAUUGAUGAGAUUCAAAAAUAUUAAUUUC
rnacentral:lncRNA from 1 species